CCUACGGGUGGCAGCAGUGGGGAAUAUUGCACAAUGGGGGAAACCCUGAUGCAGCAACGCCGCGUGAGUGAAGAAGGAUUUCGGUAUGGAAAGCUCUAUCUGCAGGGAAGUAGAGUACGGUACCUGUUUAUUAAGGUCCGGCUAACUACAUGCCAGCAGCCGCGGUAAUCCGUCGGGGGCAAGCGUUAUCCGGAUUUAUUGGGUGUAAAGGGAGCGCAGACGGCAGUCCAAGUCUGGAGUGAAAGUCUGCGGCCCAACCCCGGAAUUGCAAUGGAAACUGUGCGGCUAGAGUACUGGAGGGGCAGGCGGAAUUCGUGGUGUAGCGGUGAAAUGCGUAGAUAUUAGGAGGAACUCCAGUGGCGAAGGCGGCCUGCUAGACAGUAACUGACAUUGAGGCUCGAAAGCGUGGGGAGCAAACAGGAUUAGAUACCCUAGUAGUC
rnacentral:rRNA from 1 species